rnacentral:rRNA from 1 species
GAUGAACGCUGGCGGCGUGCCUAAUACAUGCAAGUCGAGCGAACAGACGAGGAGCUUGCUCCUCUGACGUUAGCGGCGGACGGGUGAGUAACACGUGGAUAACCUACCUAUAAGACGGGGAUAACUUCGGGAAACCGUAGCUAAUACCGGAGAAUAUAUUGAACCGCAGGGUUCAAUAGUGAAAGACGGUUUUGCUGUCACUUAUAGAUUGAUCCGCGCCGCAUUAGCUAGUUGGUAAGGUAACGGCUUACCAAGGAAACGAUGCGUAGCCGACCUGAGAGGGUGAUCGGCCACACUGGAACUGAGACACGGUCCAGACUCCUACGGGAGGCAGCAGUAGGGAAUCUUCCGCAAUGGGCGAAAGCUUGACGGAGCAACGCCGCGUGAGUGAUGAAGGUCUUCGGAUCGUAAAACUCUGUUAUUAGGGAAGAACAAAUGUGUAAGUAACUAUGCACGUCUUGACGGUACCUAAUCAGAAAGCCACGGCUAACUACGUG